AUUUAUAUGUUUAAAAAACAUUACAUUUUCAUUGUAAAAAUAAAGAAAUUUCUUUUAUAAAUU
rnacentral:tRNA from 1 species